rnacentral:rRNA from 1 species
GCAAGUCAGGGGCAGCACAAGGAGCAAUCUGAGGUGGCGACCGGCGCACGGGUGAGUAACACGUAUGCGAACCCUGGCCCUGGUAAAGCGGGGGAAUAACCCGUUGAAAGACGGACUAAUACCGCAUAAUACUAAAUUACUGCAUGGUAAUUUAUUUAAACAUUUAUGGCUUACAGAUGGGCAUGCGCAUGAUUAGCUAGUUGGAGAGGUAACGGCUCCCCAAGGCAACGAUCAUUAGGGGUUCUGAGAGGAAGGUCCCCCACACUGGUACUGAGACACGGACCAGACUCCUACGGGAGGCAGCAGUGAGGAAUAUUGGUCAAUGGACGAGAGUCUGAACCAGCCAAGUCGCGUGCAGGAAGAAUGUCCUAAUGGAUUGUAAACUGCUUUUGCAGGGGAAUAAAGUGCAUCACGUGUGAUGUUUUGUAUGUACUCUGCGAAUAAGGAUCGGCUAACUCUGUGCCAGCCGCCGC